AGAGAAAAAAAAAAAAAAAAAAAAGUAACAAGAAAAAGUCACCUGACCUGACGUUCACGUUUUGUAAUUGUUCACGUUUGCCACGUAAAUCAGCCACGCACGCACAGACAGAAUAUUUUCACUUUCACAAUGUACCUAUAAUAAAUAUGUGUUUAUGUCUACUGUGUUAAAAAAUAAAUAAAUACAGACAGACGGAUGGAUGAACUCCAACACCCAGAAGCCGUGAACUAAUGGGCACUCAUCAGGGAAAAAGACGAAAAAUCUCAAUGUCUUGGCAGUUCCUCGCAGCCACAAAAAUCGUUCGAGCAUCCCAGAGCCGAAUCCAAAAGGGGAACCACGAUGAGCAGCGUUCUCAAUGCCGGAACGGCACCUCAAUACCCGCAUAUACGACGUGCAUACUCUGAUGAGCACGCAGCGGCGGGGGCAGGUCGUUCCAACAUCGAGACGCCGCAAAUCUAAACGAGCCUCGAAAUGCCGCCGUGCGAUGCCUCGGCGUUAGGAAGACGUCUCGGUUAGUCAUAUUGUAGAUGACUCAAACACCCUCCCAAGAUCACCCAGCGAGCGGAUUUGAAAUACCUGCGCUCCAUCACUCUUGCGCGCAAAUAUGCGCCCUCGCCUCGUCCAGGAGUACCUCCACUGCAGCCUGCGGCACUCCUCGCGCACCCGGUGGAAUAGCUGACGGUUUGAGCGCGUCAGGCGCUCGUUGAUGAAGACACGAGCGCCACCCUCGCC